UCGCUUUCCUGGACGAGCUGCGGCAGUUCCACCACAGCAGAGGGUCGCCUUUUAAAAAAAUCCCUGCGGUGGGUGGGAAGGAGCUGGAUCUUCACGGUCUCUACACCAGAGUCACUACUUUAGGCGGAUUCGCGAAGGUUUCUGAGAAGAAUCAGUGGGGAGAAAUUGUUGAAGAGUUCAACUUUCCCAGAAGUUGUUCUAACGCUGCCUUUGCUUUAAAACAGUAUUACUUGCGGCAGUAUACUUCAUGAGACUCUACAGCAGUGAUUCUCUAACUGAGGUUCCCCAGACCAGCCGGAUCGGCAUCAUCUGGGAGCUUGUUAGAAAUGCAAAUAUUCAGACCUACUCAGUCAGAAACUCUGGGGUUAGGGCCAAGCAGUCUGUUUUUAACAGGUCCUCCAGGUGAUUCUGAACCUUGCUAAAGUUUAGGAACUGCUCUACAGAGAGUGACUUGUUGAAAUAAGUUCACUUGAUUUUAAUCCAG
rnacentral:lncRNA from 10 species